GACGAACGCUGGCGGCGUGCUUAACACAUGCAAGUCGAACGGAGUGGCGAACGGGUGAGUAACACGUGGGUGAUCUGCCUUGCACUUCGGGAUAAGCUUGGGAAACUGGUUCUAAUACCGGAUAGUGCAAGAUGAGCUCGCGGCCGAUCAGCUUGUUGGUGGGGUAAUGGCCUACCAAGGCGUCGACGGGUAGACGGCCUGAGAGGGUGUACGGCGACAUUGGGACUGAGUGACGGCCCAGACGCCGACGGGAGGAAGCAGGGGGGAAUAUUGCACAAGGGGCGGAAGACUGAUGCAGCGACGCCGCGUGGGGGAUGAAGGCUUUCGGGUUGUAAACUCCUUUCGACAGGGACGCGGUACCUGCAUAAGAAGCACCGGCUAACUACGUGCCAGCAGCCGCGGUAAUUC
rnacentral:rRNA from 1 species